rnacentral:rRNA from 1 species
GACGAACGCUGGCGGCGUGCUUAACACAUGCAAGUCGAACGGAAAGGCCCUGCUUGCAGGGUGCUCGAGUGGCGAACGGGUGAGUAACACGUGGGUGAUCUGCCCCUUACUUUGGGAUAAGCCUGGGAAACUGGGUCUAAUACUGGAUAGGACCAUGCUGUAGGUGGUGUGGUGGAAAGAUUUUUUCGGUAAGGGAUGAGCUCGCGGCCUAUCAGCUUGUUGGUGGGGUAAUGGCCUACCAAGGCGUCGACGGGUAGCCGGCCUGAGAGGGUGGACGGCCACAUUGGGACUGAGAUACGGCCCAGACUCCUACGGGAGGCAGCAGUGGGGAAUAUUGCACAAUGGGCGCAAGCCUGAUGCAGCGACGCCGCGUGGGGGAUGACGGCCUUCGGGUUGUAAACUCCUUUCAGCCAUGACGAAGCCUCUUUUGGGGUGACGGUAGUGGUAGAAGAAGCACCGGCUAACUAUGUG